GGCCCAAGCCAGCCAGGAAGGAGGAGGCAGCCAGAGUGUUCUCUACAGCAGAAGACCCCUUGCUGCCAGGGCCUAUCCGUAUGGUCUGCUGCUGAAGACAAAAAAGCAAAGAGAUUCAGGAGCAAGGGCCAUUGUGCCGGUGCGACACUGUGAUGACUUGCAAAGUUACAUCCGUGCAGCAAAAUGUCUAUCAAUGCACCAACUAAAGGCCAAACUACAAAUUACCAGUGGUGACACAAGACCUCUGCAUAUCUGGCAGCACACCAAAUGCCACCCUCACGCUCAUAUGCACAAACCCAUUUCCGCUGCUGCUGACUCCUCCUCCACCAGUCACCACUUCUGGAUUAGUUCACUCUCCUGCAUAUGCUGCUGUUAUAGUUAAGAAAAGGGGCUGCCAAGGAAGAGGAAAUGUCAAAAGAGGAGUAGGGUACCAGAGAUGCAUGGGAGGCACAUAGCAAAUCAGACUGUGGCUGUGUCAACUGUCUCCAUGGAAAAGGCUGAAAGAAAGAGAGAGAGAGAGAGAGAGAGAGAGAGAGAGAGAGAGAGAGAGAGAGAGAUUUGCCUAAGGCUUGCCUAGUGCAUGGCUGAGUUCAAAGUGGUGACUUGCAGCCCUAGACUCUUUUAUUAGGGUGAAAUGAAACAAGAUAAACGAGGUCCAUGUUCAAAAUCUCCUUCCUUAAUUUUUUUUUUUUUAAGCAGCAAUAAAGGAUCAAAAUCUAA